rnacentral:rRNA from 1 species
AGGUGCUAAUACCGUAUAACACUAUUUUCCGCAUGGAAGAAAGUUGAAAGGCGCUUUUGCGUCACUGAUGGAUGGACCCGCGGUGCAUUAGCUAGUUGGUGAGGUAACGGCUCACCAAGGCCACGAUGCAUAGCCGACCUGAGAGGGUGAUCGGCCACACUGGGACUGAGACACGGCCCAGACUCCUACGGGAGGCAGCAGUAGGGAAUCUUCGGCAAUGGACGAAAGUCUGACCGAGCAACGCCGCGUGAGUGAAGAAGGUUUUCGGAUCGUAAAACUCUGUUGUUAGAGAAGAACAAGGAUGAGAGUAGAACGUUCAUCCCUUGACGGUAUCUAACCAGAAAGCCACGGCUAACUACGUGCCAGCAGCCGCGGUAAUACGUAGGUGGCAAGCGUUGUCCGGAUUUAUUGGGCGUAAAGCGAGCGCAGGCGGUUUCUUAAGUCUGAUGUGAAAGCCCCCGGCUCAACCGGGGAGGGUCAUUGGAAACUGGGAGACUUGAGUGCAGAAGAGGAGAGUGGAAUUCCAUGUGUAGCGGUGAAAUGCGUAGAUAUAUGGAGGAACACCAGUGGCGAAGGCGGCUCUCUGGUCUGUAACUGACGCUGAGGCUCGAAAGCGUGGGGAGCGAACAGGAUUAGAUACCCUGGUAGUCC